AUUGAACGCUGGCGGCAUGCCUUACACAUGCAAGUCGAACGGUAACAGGUCUUCGGAUGCUGACGAGUGGCGAACGGGUGAGUAAUGCAUCGGGACGCGCCCAGUAGUGGGGGAUAGCCCGGCGAAAGCCGGAUUAAUACCGCAUACGACCUGAGGGUGAAAGGGGGGGAUCGCAAGACCUCUCGCUAUUGGAGCGGCCGAUGUCAGAUUAGCUAGUUGGUGGGGUAAAGGCCUACCAAGGCAACGAUCUGUAGUUGGUCUGAGAGGACGACCAGCCACACUGGGACUGAGACACGGCCCAGACUCCUACGGGAGGCAGCAGUGGGGAAUUUUGGACAAUGGGCGCAAGCCUGAUCCAGCAAUGCCGCGUGCAGGAAGAAGGCCUUCGGGUUGUAAACUGCUUUUGUCAGGGAAGAAAUCUUCUGGGUUAAUACCUCGGGAGGAUGACGGUACCUGAAGAAUAAGCACCGGCUAACUACGUGCCAGCCGCCGCGGUAACAC
rnacentral:rRNA from 1 species